CUGAGAUUUGCUUUGGUUACCUUGCAGGCUGGUAAAUCUGAAUGGAGACUUCGGGAACACAUUGAUCUUUCUCAUAGUCAGCUCUUUAAGCUUCAUGUUUCAAUCUACAGCCAGAUAAGGGGCAACUUAUAUCACAAUUUGGCACUAAAAUAUCUGGUUUAGAAAACCAAUAACUGCAUACCACAUUGUUAUAUAGACUUAAAGAAAGACUUAAGAGGUGGCCAUCUCUUGUAAUAUCACAGUUUGGAAAUGGUGAUGACAUGGAUUGUACUAGGGAGGACUCUAAUUGAAGAAAAAUGCUAUAAUCUCCAGGCUGGCCAUAGAAAGAAGUACAACAUUCUUUCAAGUCCAUAUUCCAAUCGUGAGAGCAAGCAACACACAAAACACCUCUGCAUGAUGGAAAUCAAAUAUAUAGAGGGCAAAUUCUUACUGAAGUUACCAAGAUUUUUGUCACUUCAGUAGGAUGGCAAUAUCCAGCACUAAGCUGAUUAUUAUUUCAGGAGUAGGCCAGAAGACUAAGACAAAAUGUCCAUUUUUUCAUUGGAGCUUGAAAUAUGCAAAGACAUUGAACUUUAUUCAGAUGCCUGAGAGACUAAAUUUGUGAUGUGCGUGGCAUUCUGAAUGACCACAAAAAAUGUUCCUUUUAUACAGCAAUGUGCAUUCAUGGGAUCUUUAUGAAAUAGAGAUCAUCACAUCCAAAUCAGAACAUGGAUUGUGUGCCUAGAACGCUGUUUUGAUAUCAAAAUUUAAUUGGAAUAGUUUGCAGAAGCCUCACUGGGGAUGAGCCAGUAAAGGAAAUAAUUUGUUCUCUGAACUGAAGAUCCAUGUGAGGACAUUCUUACUAGUUUGUUGAUACCAGGCUAGAAGGUGGGUGGUGAUGUGUGGUUCUAACUUUCAGUAGCCAAUUAUGUGCAAAGGUAAAGAAAAUAUCUAAAGCAGGCUAAAAAACAUAGCAAUUCACUAUUGUAUUUUGUCACUGGAUCAUAUUUUACUUAAAGACACAUAAAAUAUUUUAAAUUCUUAUAAAAAU
rnacentral:lncRNA from 1 species